CCCUUAGAUGUUCUGGGCCGCACGCGCGCUACACUGUUCGACGCAGCGAGUCUUAACCUUGACCGAAAGGUUUGGGUAAUCUUCAGCAAAGUCGAACGUGAUGGGGAUCGAUCAUUGCAAUUAUUGAUCGUGAACGAGGAAUUCCUAGUAAGUGCAAGUCAUCAGCUUGCGCUGAUUACGUCCCUGCCCUUUGUACACACCGCCCGUCGCUACUACCGAUUGAGUGGUCCGGUGAGGCCUUGGGAGGGCUAAGUGGGCUGUGUUUCACAGACUACCUGGCCCGAACCUGGUCAAACCUUAUCACUUAGAGGAAGGAGAAGUCGUAACA
rnacentral:rRNA from 1 species